CGGGGGGGGCAAGCGUUGUUCGGAAUUACUGGGCGUAAAGGGCUCGUAGGUGGCCAACUAAGUCGGACGUGAAAUCCCUCGGCUUAACCGGGGAACUGCGUCCGAUACUGGUUGGCUUGAGUUUGGGAGAGGGAUGCGGAAUUCCGGGUGUAGCGGUGAAAUGCGUAGAUAUCUGGAGGAACACCGGUGGCGAAGGCGGCAUCCUGGACCAACACUGACGCUGAGGAGCGAAAGCCAGGGGAGCAAACGGGAUUAGAUACCCCGGUAGUCCUGGCCCUAAACGAUGAAUGCUUGGUGUGGCGGGUAUCGAUCCCUGCCGUGCCGAAGCUAACGCAUUAAGCAUUCCGCCUGGGGAGUACGGUCGCAAGGCUG
rnacentral:rRNA from 1 species